rnacentral:tRNA from 1 species
AGUAAAGUGUCUGAAAUAAAGUAAUAAAUUGUAAAUUUAUUUAUAGAAAUAAAAUUCUCUUUACUA